rnacentral:lncRNA from 1 species
UUUGGUUUAGGAUUUAGAAUUUGGAUUAAGGUUUGAUUUAGGAUUUAGAAUUUGGUUAGGAUUUGAUUUAGGGUUUAGGGUUUGGAUUAGGAUUUGGUUUAAGAUUUGUUUAAGGUUUGGAUUAGGAUUUGAUUUAAGAUUUGUUUAAGGUUUGAUUUAGGAUUUGAUUUAGGGUUUGGUUAGGGUUUGAUUUAGGGUCUGGUUAGGAUUUAGAUUAGGAUUUGGUUAGGAUUUGGUUUAAGGUUUGUUUAGGGUUUGAUUUAGGAUUUAGGAUUUUAUUAGGAUUUAAGAUUUAAUUAGAUUUGGCCUAAAUUUUGAAUGAAGUUUAAUAGGAUUUUAACUAGAAUUAAAUUAAGAUUGAAUUGAAAUGUAUUUGAGUGAUAUUUGUGAUCCUUCUAAUAUUUCUUUAAGAAUUCUUAUUAUUUUUUAGAAAUUUCUUGAGAUUUUUUUGAAUUUGAUUAAAGCUUACUUAACAUAAUUAUGAUCUAAUUAGAGUUUAAUU